GAUGAACGCUGGCGGCGUGCCUAAUACAUGCAAGUCGAGCGAACAGACGAGGAGCUUGCUCCUCUGACGUUAGCGGCGGACGGGUGAGUAACACGUGGAUAACCUACCUAUAAGACUGGGAUAACUUCGGGAAACCGGAGCUAAUACCGGAUAAUAUAUUGAACCGCAUGGUUCAAUAGUGAAAGACGGUUUUGCUGUCACUUAUAGAUGGUUCCGCGCCGCAUUAGCUAGUUGGUAAGGUAACGGCUUACCAAGGCAACGAUGCGUAGCCGACCUGAGAGGGUGAUCGGCCACACUGGAACUGAGACACGGUCCAGACUCCUUCGGGAGGCAGCAGUAGGGAAUCUUCCGCAAUGGGCGAAAGCUUGACGGAGCAACGCCGCGUGAGUGAUGAAGGUCUUCGGAUCGUAAAACUCUGUUAUUAGGGAAGAACAAAUGUGUAAGUAACUAUGCACGUCUUGACGGUACCUAAUCAGAAAGCCACGGCUAACUACGUG
rnacentral:rRNA from 1 species